CGACAACUGUUGCCUCGCAGCCUGUUGAGAGACCUGGAUGAACACACACCCCUGAGAGACAGUGACCUUCCAAGGGAAGGAUGGAAAGUAGUUGGCAACGCCCUGGGUACAAAUAUCAUAUUUGUUCACUUGUGGAGAGACCUACCCAGAGACCACUCAACUUUUGAAUUGAGCCUAUGCCUAAGAGUGAAUUCUGUUGAAGAGUUACAUGAGUGGCUUCUAAAGACUACAGACACUGGAGUGACAUGGAGGGUCAGCAUAACAAGACCCAGGAAAGGACAUACAAUUAUUUUCAAGACAUGGCCACCUUCUUGGAGGAACAAACAAGGCAGUCCAUCAAGGCUUGUGUCAGCCAUCCAUUACUUUGGGAAGUCUCACAUCAGCCCAGCGGCCAACAGCGCAGCAGCACUCCGAAGAGCUGCCAGACGACCAGGCCCUAUUAAUUUCCUGUCAGCCUACAGCUGUUGCCCGUCGUUCCACGAAGGCUGGUACAAAACGGCGUCUCACGACUGGACGACCAAAAAGCCAGAACAGUGGCUCUGAGCACCCAUACUGUUCACAUGCUAAAAGGAAAAGGCCAUCAGAAAUUAGACAUCACAAGUUGUCUGACUCAGUGUAUGCAAAUAGUUCUCACCCAAAGUGAAUAAAGCAC